ACCUCCGGACUGGGGUUCGCAAGCUUCACGGCGAACGUACCUCGGGAAGUUGGUUAAACCUCACUAUUUGGAGGAAGGUGAAGUCGUAACAAGGUCUCCGUAGGUGAACCUGCAGAAGGAUC
rnacentral:rRNA from 1 species